GCGGGUCAUGCCUUUGCCAUCCUAGGAAAAGAAACAUCGCUUUCAGGACCGUGUUAGCGUGACACCGAUUGCGCUUAAGGACAAUACGAUGGGGAAGCAGCACCUGCAGCUACUUCCUGCUCACUGUCAGCUUAACCAUGUGGUUUCCGCUGCCUUCCACCAACAGUACAGAGAGACAGACAGAGAAAGACAGAGGAAGAAAAAAAAGAGACGAGACUGAGUGGAGAGAGAAGAGAGGAGGGCCUGGACACUCAACAGUAACUCCUGACACAAGACCUCACCACUGCAGCUGGCACAACUCAGACUUUCCACCACCGUGCAAGCCUCAUAAACUCAAGGCGAGCAACAGAGAGAGGGAGAAGGAAAGGGCCCGAGACUCUGGAUUGAAAUGUGCCAAAUCAGCUGGAAGAGACGACACCAGCCGCUGUGACUCAGGCAGGAUGCCAACAACGAUCAGGGCACACCCAAGCUAUGCCAAACUUUCUCUUGAGCCGCUUGCAAAACCAAUUCAGCAACACUUCCCUUGUGAUUACACCAGAUGCUGACUCUGUGUUGAGAGAAGAUUGAUUAGACUCUAGCUGACAUGCAGACGGCAUAGCUAGGAACUUUUAGAGGCUUAAAGAGAGCUUAGAAGUAGCUCAAAAGGGCAGAAUCACAAGUUAAGUGUGCCGUACCCAACCAUCAGUGGAACUUGAUACCCUUAUUGAUAUGUCUCUAAUGAAAGAUGUUGAGUGACAAUAACAGACAGUGGCGAGUUUAGACCCUUUUUAGGGGGCGCUCAAGUUCAUCCCCUAAAAUUAUUAUUAUUUAAAAAAAAGUGCUUCAAGUGAGAGAUUGGGAACUUGUCUGUUAGCGACAGAGGGCAAACAAUUACAGCUUUAAUAUCCUGUGUCGCUGUUGCCAAUACAAUGCGCCUGUA